AAAAGAUGAGACUUUACCCUUGAAGCUCUCUUAGAUGCUUUCUAAGUUUUCACCUUUUAUUUUUUUUAUUUUUUAUUUUUAUAUUUUAAAAAGCCUUCUUCCUUACUUAGUCCCCACAUAUUCUUCACAUAGAGGUAUUAAAGAUGAUACCCUCCACUUCAUGCACACCAAACAUAAUGCAUAGGUGAAUAAGAUGACCAAGAGGAGGUGACGUGCUAGCCUUCUCCUCUUAGGACCAAUUUUUGC
rnacentral:lncRNA from 1 species